rnacentral:rRNA from 1 species
UGGGGAAUAUUGGACAAUGGGCGAAAGCCUGAUCCAGCAAUGCCGCGUGAGUGAUGAAGGCCUUAGGGUUGUAAAGCUCUUUUUACCAGGGAUGAUAAUGACAGUACCUGGAGAAUAAGCUCCGGCUAACUCCGUGCCAGCAGCCGCGGUAAUACGGAGGGAGCUAGCGUUGUUCGGAAUUACUGGGCGUAAAGCGUACGUAGGCGGUGACUCAAGUCAGAGGUGAAAGCCUGGAGCUCAACUCCAGAACUGCCUUUGAAACUAGGUCGCUAGAAUCACGGAGAGGUGAGUGGAAUUCCGAGUGUAGAGGUGAAAUUCGUAGAUAUUCGGAAGAACACCAGUGGCGAAGGCGGCUCACUGGACGUGUAUUGACGCUGAGGUACGAAAGCGUGGGGAGCAAACAGGAUUAGAUACCCCGGUAGUCCCUGAGCGGGCUGGCAAGGCGCAU